rnacentral:rRNA from 1 species
ACCUUCUAGAUGGGGACAACACCGCGAAAGUGGUGCUAAUACCGAAUGUUGUAUCUGGGGUGCAUGCUUUGGAUACUAAAGGUGGCCUCUAUUUAUAAGCUACCGCUAGAAGAUGGGUCUGCGUCUGAUUAGCUAGUUGGCGGGGUAACGGCCCACCAAGGCGACGAUCAGUAGCCGGUCUGGGAGGAUGAACGGCCACACUGGGACUGAGACACGGCCCAGACUCCUACGGGAGGCAGCAGUGGGGAAUCUUCCGCAAUGGACGAAAGUCUGACGGAGCAACGCCGCGUGAGUGAAGAAGGCCUUCGGGUUGUAAAGCUCUGUUAUCAAGGACGAACGGUUCCUAUGUGAAUAAUGUGGGAAAGUGACGGUACUUGAGGAGGAAGCCACGGCUAACUACGUGCCAGCAGCCGCGGUAAUACGUAGGUGGCGAGCGUUGUCCGGAAUUAU